ensembl:lncRNA
UAUAUACAUGGUGUGAAGCAGUGUGAAACGGUAAUAUUUUUGUUUAUUCAAAGGUAAUUUCAUGCUUACCACAUAACAGGAGAUGUCUUCAUCAUCUUGCACCGACUCUGAAUCGCUGGAGUCCAGGAAAAGAUGAAUGCUUUGGUCAUCUGCUGUUUCGUCUGGAAAACAACCCGUGCAGAAGAUACAGUUAUGCAUUAUAAAGCAAUAUUCAUAUUUAAUGAUUAAUUAUUAUUACAAUAAACACAACAGUGAAAAACAAACAUAUUUUAACGAGACAAUUUAAAAAGGAGACCGGUUACCGUUACAAUAUCUGUAGCCCACAGCUGUACAGGUCUAACAGUUAAAUUGUGGCGCUCACUGUUGUCUGAACUGAUUGGACGAGGGCUAGAAGACUCGUCGGGCUCCUCCAAUCACAUGCGAGGUCAUUGUUAUACGGAAGAAGUCGCGAGACGAGCUCGCCGAUAUAAACAAGCACGAUGUGCCUAUGAAGCUCUGUGAUAUAAACACGGUGUGCCUUCAGUUUAAAGAUGGAAGUCCCAAGACUGAAGAAACGACCUCGGCGCCUCUGUGAACAGUGCAACACUCUGUCAUACACAGUAUUUUGACCACAGAAAGCGCUAUUUCAAACAUGGAGUUUGGGAGAAAAAAAUCACAAUCUACAAUGGCUGGAUGGCUCAGCUCCCCUUCAACUCCUCUGUAUGGAUGCGAUCAACCCCUUUCAGCCAGUCCGCAGACCGGCGAGAACAAACUGCUAGAUGCUAUCAGUGGGCUGUCUCGUCAACUUACUCUGCUUGCUGCCGAUGUGAAUGAGCAGUUCACCGUAGUAAAGUCCAGGCUGCUGUCCAUAGAGGAGAGGUUGGCUGCUUUUGAGUCGAAAAAGAAACAGUACGCCGUCUUCACAACUCGGAGACAAAUUGUAGGCGCCAAGAACCGGAGCAAGGACUUGCCUCGCCUCAUAACGAGGCCUGACCUCCUAUUUGCUCGGAGCUAUGUCAGACUGCGGGUCCAGGCCAUUGUGUCUGCCUGUAAAACAUACGAGACAGUCCGCGGGAGCUUCACGUACAGACAACCAGAUCUUGCAUCACAGGCGGAAGCUGUGAAGAAUUCAGCUAGGAGUCGAUCGAUAAUGGCUGUGAAAGAUCAGUACUGACCUUAAAAACAGAUGAGAAGUAUUUUGUUGUUGGUAGGUUGAAAUCCCUGUGAGCUAUUUCAAAAUAUAACCGAAAAAUAUUCAUAAAAUAUGCUCAAUGAAUACUAAUUGUUUUUAAGAUAUUUGUACAUGACUUUAUGGGAGAUAAUGGUUGUGAAAGAUCAAUACCGACCUUACAAAUGAGAAGUAGAUUGGUGUCGGUAGGUUGAAAUUACUGUGAAAACCGAGAAAUAUUCAAAUAUAAUGUCAAUGAAUACUAAUUGUUUCUGGGAUAUCUUUUAAAUGUUUUUUUCUGGAAGAAAAUGGUUGUGAAAGAUCAUUACCGACCUUCGAAACAGAUUAGAAGUACAAUGGUGCUGGUAGGUUGACAUUCCAGUGAGCUAUUUCAAAAUAAAAUUGAGAAAUAUUUAUAAAAUAUGCUCACUGGGCACUCAUCGUUUCUGGGAUGUUUUUACAUGAUUUUAUGGGAGAUAAUGGUUGUGAAAGAUCUAUAAUUGGCUUAAACACAGACAGUAUUUGUGUGUUGUUUUUUUGAUUGUCCAAACUGAAAAAUCAGAGAUUGCAAUUUUACUAUGGUCCCUAAGUGCCACACAUUCUCUGGCCAGGCGCGGUUCCGCUGCUAUUCAUAUGCCAAUUAGUACCUCCGGAGCUCCACAUACUUCAUGGUUCGUUUCCGUCAAUAUUUGGCACAGACGAACGCGACGUUCACAGGCUGUAAAUUGUCAUUAACUGCCGAAAAUGUGUGAGAUUUCCGGGCGCUUACGGGGACGGAAAUCCCACUUUUCAUGCAGUGCAUUGACUGAUCCCAUCCCAUUCACUUUUUCAAAAGCUUCCAGGUCAAGAUGCAGAGAAAUAAACACCAGCUUUUACAGAAAAUUGAGCAACGCUUCUCAACAAGAGGUGUGUGUGUGUGUAUUUGGAAGCCGUCAGACAGAAUGCCUGGAUGACCGAAACUGAACAUGACUUUUUGUCCUGUCAGCAUCCUUAUGUACACAUUGCCUAAAAUACACAAAUCCCUAUCUAAUCGUCCAGGCUGCCCAGACUAACUCAUUAUUGUCUCCCCUGUCAGAAUUUGUUCUUUUUUUUUUUUUGUUCUUUUUUUAAAAUUUUAAAUUAAACCUUAUGUCCAUACCCUACCAUAAUAUAUUAGAGAUUAUGCAGAUUUUAUUAACUUUUUCAAGAUUGACUUGGCUGAUGACAUCCUUUUGGUGACGUUAGGCUCUGAACUUCAAUCUCCAUGACCGGGAUAAUGCUUCCAUUCAGCAAACACCAUCAUGAAAAAUAACUUCAAUUUCAAUGGAGACGUCUAUUAGGAAGUGUCUGGGAUUGGUAUGGGCUGAGAGAAGCUUUGGCUUAGGGGUAGAGCCAGUGUCUUAUUAUCUGUGGGUCGCCGUUUGAUUCCCCUAGUCUGCAUGUCAAAGUGUCCUUGGGCAAGAUACUGAACCCCAAACUGCUCCGGAUGUGCUGGUCAGCACCUCGCAUGGCAGCCACCGCUGUGAAUGUAUGAAUUACUGCAAGUUGUUUUGGACAAAAGUGUCUGGUAAAUGUAAUAUAUAUUGAUGAUGGAUUAGUUUGUCCUUUUCAAGGUAAUGUGGAAGAACUACAUGAUUGUAUCUCUACUUGGCAGCAUCAAUAGUAAUCUGAACUUUACAAUGGACUAGUUGAGAUAAGGUUAUUAUUUUUAUUAUUUAUUUAUUUUUUUUGUCCAACGUGGGUAUCCUAUUGACUCGACUGAAGAAAAAAGAAAAAGAAACAAAAGGUAAAACUUUCUCUGUGACUUGUAUGACCUCCUACUCUUCUUAACCCUUAUGUUGUGUUCCGGUCAAAUCUGUCCGAUUUAAAAGUUUUAUCUCUGAAAAAUGUACUUAAUUUGAUCAGACUGACCUAAAAGUCCAUGACUUUGUCCACAAAGAGGAUUUCAACACACAAAUUAAAUAGUAUUUAUUUGCAUACAAUUUUGUGUAUUUUAUUCAACUUUUGUACACUCUUGGUGUUCCCGGUCAAAAAUGACCAGUCAUUAGAAAUGAAUGGGGGAGACUACAAUUAGUGUAAAAAACUGAUCUCAGGUACAUCCUCAUUUGUCAUAUGGACACACACACACAUGGACACACACACACGCACACGCACUCACACACACACCUUGGUUCCCAGGCAACCACCACAGGAACCUUAGCCCAGUAGAGUCUCUCUCCCGCGGGAACAACACCUGUUCUCAGAAAGUUGUUGGAACAUUGUUUCAAUAAUAUUGAACUUUUCUCGCAGCUUUGGUAGCCUAUAUAAAUGCUUUUUUGAGGCCUUGCUCACAGUUCAUUGUGUGGCAGCACCAUGGCAC